rnacentral:rRNA from 1 species
UUACGCCGCGUGAGGGAUGAAGGCCUCUGGGCUGUAAACCUCUUUUCUCAAGGAAGAAGAACUGACGGUACUUGAGGAAUAAGCCACGGCUAAUUCCGUGCCAGCAGCCGCGGUAAUACGGGAGUGGCAAGCGUUAUCCGGAAUUAUUGGGCGUAAAGCGUCCGCAGGCGGCCUCGUAAGUCUGUCGUUAAAGCGUGGAGCUUAACUCCAUUUGAGCGAUGGAAACUGUGAGGCUUGAGUGUGGUAGGGGCAGAGGGAAUUCCCGGUGUAGCGGUGAAAUGCGUAGAUAUCGGGAAGAACACCAGUGGCGAAGGCGCUCUGCUGGGCCAUAACUGACGCUCAUGGACGAAAGCCACGGGAGCGAAAGGGAUUAGAUGCCCCUGUAGUCCUGGCCGUAAACGAUGAACACUAGGUGUCGGGGGAAUCGACCCCCUCGGUGUCGUAGCCAACGCGUUAAGUGUUCCGACUGGGGAGUACGCACGCAAGUGUGAAACUCAAAGGAAUUGACGGGGGCCCGCACAAGCGGUGGAGUAUGUGGUUUAAUUCGAUGCAACGCGAAGAACUUACCAGGGUUUGACAUCCUGCGAAUCUCUGAGAAAUCGGAGAGUGCCUUCGGGAGCGCAGUGACAGGUGGUGCAUG